rnacentral:rRNA from 1 species
CUUGGCGGCCAUAGCGCGGUGGUCCCACCUGAUCCCAUGCCGAACUCAGAAGUGAAACGCCGUAGCGCCGAUGGUAGUGUGGGGUCUCC